rnacentral:rRNA from 1 species
UACGUAGGGUGCAAGCGUUGUCCGGAAUUAUUGGGCGUAAAGAGCUCGUAGGCGGUCUGUCGCGUCGGCUGUGAAAACCCGAGGCUCAACCCCGGGCCUGCAGCCGAUACGGGCAAGCUAGAAUUCGGUAGGGGAGACUGGAAUUCCUGGUGUAGCGGUGAAAUGCGCAGAUAUCAGGAGGAACACCGGUGGCGAAGGCGGGUCUCUGGGCCGAAAUUGACGCUGAGGAGCGAAAGCGUGGGGAGCAAACAGG